AAUACUUCUGGUCUGCUUUGGCUCAUUUGAGUGCCAAUGCUCGGUGGAAGGAUUUAUCAGGAAAAUGCCGUACCAGAAGCUAGGCUGGAGACCUCUGUGUGCCACUGGAACACAGAUGGCAAAUAACACCGUAAGACGUGAAUCAGCAUCCGCUGGCUUGUGGUUGUCUCCAGUGAUCCAGGACCUGGUGGGACAGAGGUGCCUUAGGUGAGCUCUCUCCAUCCCAGCUCUGCUGAAUAUCAGCAGCCAGCAUUAAUGGUCAAGCUCUCAUCUGCACAAAAAGACAGAAAAGUGGUUGUGAAACCAUGAUGAAUAUUUAGGUCGCACCAAGUGUGAAAGAACACUGCAGCACUCAAGAAGAGAAUUAACUCGUAGCUAUCAGACAGCUCGUGUCGCGAAGCGGAAAUUACAGCCAUUUAUGUGAUUUCAGGCUAAUUUCUGCCAGUACUUGUUCUGGGCUGCUACUGCUGGCUUCCAAAGAUCUCCUGUUCUGGACUGAUUACGCAAAAGCAGCCCCUGAUAGCAGGCACACGGAAGUUUCCUGUGUGAUGCCCCCACCUUGGAGCCCUGGUGGAGCCCAGGUGUCCCACAGAGGUCCAACCAACAGAGCUGAAGUGACAGAGAAUCUGCCGUCUCCUCGGCUUUCCUCCCAGAUAAGCGCACGUAGCUGCCUGGCCUCCUUCCACCCACUUCUCUCCAUAUGUUCAUCCAGUUAUCACAGGAACGUGCCCACGUGCAACCCUUGAAUUGAGGUUUUUGCAUCUGAAAGCAAAAGGUGACAAACAAGAGUGCACUGGAAAGCCAAAAUCUGUGCUAGGAGGGUGGCUGGGUCUGCCGAGCCCCCAGCGCUGUGUCCAUGCACAGCGGUUUGAGCAGGUGAGGAGGAGGAAAGCACGGUUUCCUAACUGCAAACAGCCUCCACAUGGGGAAGCGAGCGUCUCCCAUUUGGAUCCUAGGAAGCCCGUGGGCUGGCUGUGCUGCGAGCUGCUGGCAGGGCACAGCGCUCCUUACAGCGAGCUGCGCUCCUGCGCGUGCAGGUGGGACCUCUGCCAUCAAAAGGAAAACCACAACCGUGGAGGCUGUCAGGAGCAAAACGCUCGAGCAGCUCCCAAAGAGGAGAUGCUGGUGUGGAACUAGAGGGUGCUGCCACAAGCCGCAAGGAAGAUUAAUGGGAGGAUUUUACUUUGAGCAUAUUGGGAAUUUUGAAUUUUUUCCGGUUCUGACAAGACUUCAGAGGUCUCCUCUCUUCCUCCCAAACCACAGCUUUGGGUAUUAUUAACAUGCAAAUUAACAUGAUUUAUAGAAAACAGCAUCUUGACAAGCUGACAAGCAUUGCACAGGACAAGGGCUGGGUUUGGGAGGUUUUCCUGCUUCCACAACCGCUGCUGUUGGCUGGGAUGGGCCAUGCACAGCGGUGGUCGGGGUGCUGAGGAUGUGUGCUCCUGUGGUUCUCUUGGAGGCGCAGAGCUGGGACACCCUGCUGGGGGCAGCCCCCUGGGGCGGCUCUCUGGGUCCUACCAAAGCUAGCAGAUGAUUUGCUUUGUUGCUGUUACUGGAAUUGGGUUGGGACCUGUGUUGCAUAGCAACCCUGAAUUAUUUUAAAAACCUCAAAAGGGUAUUAAUGCUACUCCUGAAUAACGACAGUUUGUUUUGCUGCUGUUUAUGGAUUGUUUUUAUGCUGUUCCCCAGCCGAGUGAAGGCUUUCAUCUUCCUAAACAAUGAAAUUCAAGUUAUUGCCAGAAGAGUGGUAGCUCCCGCUCAGUGGCACAGCAGCUGUAAUUAGUCUUUUCCAGUGCACACUCCCUGGCUUUCAUUUUAAGGAGGACUUUAACUUGUUGCUUACCACUCACAGCUGACCGGGCUCAGCUCCCACUCACAAAAUGAGUUUCCCAAGUUCAAGCAGAGGCUGCAUUUCAGCUGUGGGUGUUUCCUGCGUGGAUUCUCAUUCCCAGAUGGAAAGUGCUUACAGCUUGUCUGUCUUCACUGCUUUUAGGAAAAAUUGUCUCUGAAAACAAGGGAUAUACCACGUCUUUUUCUCCUCCUCUUUGAAAGCUGUCAGUACUAAUUUAAUUAGUUGUUGCAUAAUCACAGUUUAGCAUUUCCAAGUCUAAUGUAUUGUAAUGUUGUUUAUACUGAUUUGAUGAUUAAGGGUCUUGUCAGAGUCUUUGUUUCCUUACAAAAAGAAAAUGUAGUUAUCUUUUUUUUUUUUUUGUAAAAAAAGUCUUUCUUGCUAUGCAAAUGAGACACAGCAGAUUAAGGAGGCUUAUUUCACCUGGAAAGGUAUUUACAAUAAUUUUCAAUAGUCCUGCUGUCACUGUCCACAGCAGCCUUGUCAUCCUUUGCAAGGUAGCUGACACGGGUCGCUGACACACAACAUGGACUCUGCCCAGCCUUGGCCCAUGCUCCUGUCCACCUGCACCCUCUUCUCCUUUACCAGCAGCAGAAGGGCUCUCCCCGGCUCUCUGCCUGCUGAUGGAGUCCCUCAGGGCCUCUCCUGCAGUGUGCCCCUCUUACAGCGGGCUGUUUGUCGGGGCUGCUCCUGGUGCUCCCCACCAGCUGCAGGUCCAUGCUCGGAGCAGGCAUCGUGGUGGCUGCAGGACCCACUGCCAGCUGGGGAGCCUGUGACUGGGGGUAAAUCGUGGUGUAUCUGGGGCAAAAGGCUCAGUUUGGAGGCUGAGAGAGCUCCUUGCUUCUCUGCUUUGCAGAGGUGCUGUCAUCGGGUGUGAUCCUGCCCAGCAGGGAACUGCUGCCUUCCUUGAGCAGAUGAGGCUUCCUCAACUGCCUUUUCCAGGGACUGUGGAGCCUACACCAGGAUUUUUGCAAAUCCC